GGAUGUGAGGGUGAUCUGGCUGCAACGUCUCUUACCCCACUGAUCGCCAAGGUUGAUUUGGCUGAUCUGGCUGGCCGGGCAAGUGUUCCCUUCCUCCCUCACCGCUCCAUGUGCAUCCCUCCUGAAGCUGCGUGCUAGGUUGAAGAGGACGACAGCCCCCAAUAAAGAAGGACCACUUCCUUUCUCCAAGGAUAUGUGAGUAGCUCCAAACAGGCUCUCAAAUACAGAUACUAUUCAAAAGUUUACAGAUAUUU
ensembl:misc_RNA 7SK 7SK RNA